GAUGAACGCUGACAGAAUGCUUAACACAUGCAAGUCAACUUGAAUUUGGGUUGUUAACUUAGGUUUGGGUGGCGGACGGGUGAGUAACGCGUAAAGAACUUGCCUCACAGCUAGGGACAACAUUUGGAAACGAAUGCUAAUACCUAAUAUUAUGAUAAUAGGGCAUCCUAUAAUUAUGAAAGCUAUAAGCGCUGUGAGAGAGCUUUGCGUCCCAUUAGCUAGUUGGAGAGGUAACGGCUCACCAAGGCGAUGAUGGGUAGCCGGCCUGAGAGGGUGAUCGGCCACAAGGGGACUGAGACACGGCCCUUACUCCUACGGGAGGCAGCAGUGGGGAAUAUUGGACAAUGGACCGAGAGUCUGAUCCAGCAAUUCUGUGUGCACGAUGAAGUUUUUCGGAAUGUAAAGCGCUUUCAGUUGGGAAGAAACAAAUGACGGUACCAACAGAAGAAGUGACGGCUAAAUACGUG
rnacentral:rRNA from 1 species